GCUUGUCUCAAAGAUUAAGCCAUGCAUGUCUUAGUGUAAAUAACUCUUAUGAAACUGCGAAUGGCUCAUUAAAUCAGUUAUCGUUUAUUUGAUGGUCCCUUACUACAUGGAUAACCGUAGUAAUUCUAGAGCUAAUACAUGCAAUAACGCCCGAGCGCUUCGGCGCGAGGGUUGUAUUUAUUGGAUACAGAAACCAAACCUGGCAACAGGUUUUCGUUUGUUGAUUCACAAUAACUGAUCGGACCGCUGCUCAGGCAGCGGUAGGUCAUUCAACAUUCUGCCCUAUCAGCUUUCGAUGGUUCUGUAGUGGACAACCAUGGCCGUAACGGGUAACGGAGAAUCAGGGUUCGAUUCCGGAGAGGGAGCUUGAGAAUUGGCUACCACAUCUAAGGAAGGCAGCAGG
rnacentral:rRNA from 1 species